AUGCUACAAACAGUCAAAUCUGAACCUUGUCGCUCUUCUUUCCUCAUGGAUAGGAAGCACAUUAGCAGCAUGUGUUGCAUGAUUCCACUGUGUUUUUUGCACUUGACUGGGUGGACAGUGGACCGGAAGAUAACUUUGAUUCGCCCGACCAGCAGGCGGGCGGCGUGCUUAUCUUGUGUGACAACACUACAUAGCGAGUAG
rnacentral:rRNA from 1 species